rnacentral:lncRNA from 1 species
CAACACUGGGUGCAGAUGGUCGCUUGUGGAUGGAAGGCUUCAACAUUGUCCAGUGUGGAAAUUACGCACAAUCAGUACCUACGGCCAUACCAGUUGCUCAGGUGCCUCAGCUACUUUACCAGUCAGAGGAUGAACUAGCGGCGAGGCGAACACGCAGUCACAUCACAAUCUCAUCGUCAGUUGGGUCCCCUAUAAACCCGCUCCAGCGCUCUCCGAUCAGAGCGACUCCAUUGCGAGUCGGUUCAUACCCCCGGUCGACAGAGGUGUCCGUCUGUACUGCUGUGAAUAUAGGUUCGGCUUUUCCGGCCAUUAUGAUCACGACCCGAAAAUAGUAGCUCAAAGCACGGCCGGACACGAAAUUUGUCUUUACCAAUUUAUCUUUACCACGCUUCUGUUUCCCUAACAACUUGAGGCUUGUCCCCUUAAAUAUUUCUUGAGUGUCUGGAGGAAUCCUUGUCAUCUAAACACUUAAAACACAAUACUAAUUAGUUGCACGUGCAUCGCUACGAUUUCUAUAUAUCAUAUAGGUAGACAUUGCUUAAAUGUGAUAGUUUUUCAAACACGAUUGUUCUCUCGUCUUUUUCCACGCUCGAAUGGGCUAUGCCUAGUAAGUCGGCACGGGGCACAACCCAUUUAUUGGUGUCGCGGCCCAGUCUGGUUCGGCAGUCACGACCCAUUUAAUAGUGUCACAACAUGAACCGGCAUGAUUCAAAACAGACUCAUGCUAGUCCCGACCGAGAAUCAUGUCAUGUAUGGGUCAACUUCUAGGCCACGGUGUUGGCUCAGACACUAUUAUAUUUUUUGUUUUUAGAUUAUAACUAUACAUAUUUAUAAUCUACCGUUCACGUAACAAAAACAUGACCUCUUUGAUUGGCUUCUCCAUGUAGCUUGGCUACAUGAGCCAGGCUAGCGAGAGUCUGGCUCCAGAGAUGCAAUCAAUUUGCUCGCGACUGCAGAGCCUAGUCCAGGGUACUUUGAGUAUUGUGAGAGUCUGACUCCACAUCUGCAUGUUGGUAACCAAACACACACCUCGCACGCGUAGAGCCUGGUUGACAACAACCAAACACCAGCUCAUUGUAUCAUGUGAUGUAAGCACCAGCAAAUACAGUCAACCAAACACACGAAUAGACUCUAUUGGUUAGAGGAGUGGUUACCUACCACUAAUAUCUAUCAUUAACAUUGGUAGGUAAACAUUGCAGCAAAUUUAAAGGAUAUUAAUGAAAAAAUCUACAUUGAGCUGUAGGGAUAUUUUCUCUUCUGCUGGAAAAACAUCACUAUUUUAGAUUUGAGACUUAUCUACCUACCAAUGAUUAGUGGUUACCAACAUAUGAUCAUUGGUUGGUAGACUCGUAUUACAAAUUUAAAGAAAAAAUUCGUGCAACUUAAAAGAAAAAAAUUAUCUAGACACAAUCAUAGAGAAAUUUUUUCUCGCAUCGGCAACAGGUAGGAAUAUGAGGUGGAAAAAGUGGGUUUUCCACCUGUAGGAAUGAUAAUAAACUCUAAAUUUUAUACUAUAAAAUUUAAGUAUCGAACCAGAUUAAAAUUGAACUUUAGUUUUAUUUAUUUUUUAAACUAAAAAUAAUCAAAUACUCUAUUUAUUGUGAAGAAACAUUUGGAUCGUGAUCCAUUACCACGCAUAUCUGUGUGUAUGUGAACAACUUACAACCAUGUCACUACAUCUCACAUUUUCACUCCAUUCAAACUUCAUUUUCCACAUGCAAACGAGAUUGGCGGUAUUCUUGCACACAAUAAGGCUUUGUUCGUUUCAUCCCUAAUCCAUAGAGAUUGAGGGGGAUUUUGACUUGUAGGGGAUUCAAUCCCUCUCAAUCCCCAUGGGUUUGAUAAAAACGAAUAGGACCUAAAGGGGUGUUUGGUUUCUAUGGACUAAUCUAUAGUCUCUUCAUUUUAUUCUAUUUUAUACCCUAUAUUGUUAGAUACGAAAACUAAAAAGUUUGUAUAUUUAGUAAUUUAAGUACUAAAAUGGAAUAAAAAAAGAGACUAAACAUUAGUCCCUAGAAACGAAACAACCCUUAAGUUAGCACGAAAGCUUCUUACAUGUGUAAGAAAAAAUAAAAAAAUUCUGAUAUGCCAUCAGCUUUUAUACUCAUUCCUUGUGUGCCACUGACCGGCAUAUAGGUAUAUUUUUUUGUAUGACAUGUGGGGUCAAUGGCACACAAGAAACGAGUAUAUUUUCCAAUGGUAUACAGAGAAUUGGCCCAAGAAAAAAAACACCAAACAGCUAACCACAGCCUAAGAAUGCAAACUUGGCUACCAAUUUGAUUCAGUCUUAAACAUUGACCUAAAGGCUAGACGAGCAAAUAGCCACGCAAACAAGAAUACAAUUCAUGGUGUCCGGACACGAUGCCAAUGCUUGAAUUAAACAAGAGUGUCAGUAGCGGGCUGCAAAAUUGUUUACCAUCGCAGGAUUUCUGAAUUGAAGACCACACAAUAAUCUAGAGUGUCCAUCUCACAUUUCAACCAAUUGAUGUCGCAGAAUCCUACGUAGCACUACUCGUCGUCCUCCUCGCCAUCGCCGCCGCCACCGCCGCCAGAGGCCUUCUGGUUCUUGCGCUUCACCCUUCCAGCAGGACCACCACCCAGAGGACUGGUGAGGGAGAAGUCGAUGUGCUUCUCUGACUCGACCCUGACCAUGAACGAGGGAAUGUUGACGGGCUGCCUCCCCACCCUGUGAAAAUGUUUUAGGACCCCUUGGUGACAAAAGUCCCAUAAAUCCAAGUUGCUAAACUGUAACUUGUCUGUCAAUCUACCAAACUAUGGCAACAAUUUAAAUUAAAAGUACAAGCAUCCCUAUCAAUAAUCUGGUCUUCUCCAUAAGCACCACAGCUCAUUUUCUAUGCAGAGCACAGGACUAAUUCAGUGAUACAUGUUACAAAUCAUCACAUUCUGCUAAAAAGGAUUUAUGCGAGGCACCCUAUUUUACUAGAGUGCAAGCAAAGCAAUGCAUUAGAAACUAACCACAUGAGGCAGAGUUACGACACUAACCACAUGAGGCAGAGUUACGUCUGAGUCUGACAGGUUUGGGAAUGGACAGAACAAGGCGUUCCAUGUUAAUUAGAAACUAAAGAAUCUGAAAGAAAUAAGACAACAUAAUCACACAUUGAAAGGGAAAAAAGAAAAUAGAAAAUGUUAUUUGAACAUCCAAUAGGGCACUCGGAAUGCAAAAGGACAUAAGAAUCAUUGACCUUCUGGCCUCGGAGAUACAUUAGUAAAAUUAACUCCUCAUUGUACCCAACAAAACAUAGAAAUACAUGCACAGACAUUAGAAUUUAGAAGGAACAUGACAUGAUGCACAGGAAGAAAGCAAUUUGCAACAAAAAACAAAUUUGAAAUUAAAACUACAUUAAAAAAUACAAAAUGAAAUGAAUGAUGAAAUUAUGUUAAUACUGAAUCAAACAUUCCAAACGUUCAGUGUCUUGUCACCAAGAUUAUUCAUUUUUCCACUGAAGAAGACAGAGCAAGGACCUCACUACAGUAAAAACGAACCAUAGAGAGAAGGCAAGGGUCACACAAACUAUUCAUUAUGGUAACAGGUAUAAGACCAUCGUGAGAAUUGCACAUGGUUUUUCAUCAUAUGGCCCAUCCAAGAUCAAAUGUGUCUUUACAACUAAUCUACAACCAACUGCAGCAAAACAUAAUGAAAAAAUUGGGCACAGUCUGGAACAAUAUAUUGCAAAUUCAUAACUAAAUUUUACCAUACAACACAAGUUGAUGCACAAUCGAGGGAUCAGGAGCAUAUGAUCAAACCUGAUAUGGCGCUACCUGAUCAGAACACGAGCAUGGUGGAUGGACUUGGCCAUGCCAUUCUUGAAGACGAUGGUCUGGAGGCGGCGCUGGAGAAAGUUCUCAACAGUGAGGGCAAGCACAUAAUCAAGCUUGUUCUGUCCCUCGCCAAGGAGACCAUAUCGGUUCAUGCGGCGGAGGAGUGCCUCGCCCUCAAAGAUACGGCGUGGGUUCUUCUCAUCCAGGGUGAGCAGCUCCCUGGCUGCAUUCCUGAUACGGCUCAGGGCAUACUGCACGCGCCACAGCUCACGCUUGCAGCGGAGGCCAUACUCACCAACCAGCUUCAACUCAGCAUCUAGGCGCUUGUCAGCAGACAACAUGUGAGCCAACAUGUUGACGAAGUGCAGCAGCCGGAUGGAGUUCUGAUGGAAGAUGUAAAGGCUGCGGAAAUAGGCCAAGACGAUGUCGAAGCUGGAAUUAUCAGACUGUGCCGUCGUGUUCGCAAGCCCAAUACAAGAUACCCGUCGUCUUGCUGGACGCGCUGAGGCAGCCGUCAUGUAAAGGGUAGCUUAAAUACUGUAAGCGGGAGUUAGAGAGACUAAGAAAGAAAUUACCAACACUAUUCCUGUUAUUUCCAUUCGUUUCCUUUGUAGUUAGCCAGUAGACAGUUACAAGUGGUAUCGGCUUUGUUCAUCCUGGGCACAGCUGUUCCCAGUCCCUUACCGAUGGCGACUUCGGGGGAUUCGAGCGUCGCUGUGGCGCUUGAGGCGCAGGCGCAGACCAUGGCCGCCCAAGCUCGGCUGCUGAAGCAGAUCUGUGACCGCCUCGACGCGCAAGACCGCCAUUGGGAGACGCUUGAGAAGACAGUGGCGGGUAACAUCGCUUCUAUCGGUACCUUAGCGACCAAGCUGCAAGAGGUGGAGGUUCCUGCUGCUGUUCGAGCGGACAUGGCUCGGUCGUUGUCGCAUCAGGUGGAGACUCAGGUGGGGGAAUUCCAAUCUCUGACAUGGGAGCGCAUUGAUGCCGUCUGAAAGGAUCACGAUGCCCAAGAGGGGGGGUGAAUUGGGCUUUUCUAAAAAUCAACACUAAUUAAAACCUAAGCAAUAGCUAAACAAGAGCCCAACUUCACCCCAACAACUAGCACUAAGAAAAUAAUACUAGAAAUGUAACAAGGCUAAAACAAUGCUUCAAAUAUUUGCUAAACAAAUACACAAAGUAAAGAGCUUGAAUUAAGUGCGGAAAGUAAAGCAAAGUUUAGAAGACUCCUCCAAUUUUUCCCGAGGUAUCGAAGAGUCGGCACUCUCCACUAGUCCUCGUUGGAGCACCCGCGCAAGGGUAUCGCUCCCCCUUGGUCCUCGCAAGAACCAAGUGCUCACUACGAGAUGAUCCUUUGCCACUCCGGCGCGGUGGAUCCCUCGAGACCGCUUACAAACUUGAGUCGGGUCACCAACAAGAUCUUCACGGUGAUCACCGAGCUCCCAACGCCACCAAGCCGUCUAGGUGAUGCCGAUCACCAAGAGUAACAAGCCAUAGACUUUCGCUUGACCAAGAGAAGCCUAAUGCAAGUGGUGUGUGCUCUAGGUGGCUCUCACUAGCGCUAAUGAGGAACAAGCGCAGAUUAUGAUUCUCUAAUCUCCUCACUAGGCUUUUGGUGCUUGCAAUGCUCUACCAAAGUGCUGGAAUAAAUGUGGAGUGCAAGACAUUGAAUAUGGUGGGUGGAGGGGGUAUAAAUAGCCCUCACCCACCAACUAGCCGUUACAGGAAACUUGCUGCGCGAUGGCGCACCGGACAGUCCGGUGCGCCACCGGUGCGCCAACGGUGCGCCACCGGUGCGCCAACGGUCACUUCCAACGGCUAGUUCUGACAGCUAGCCGUUGGACUCAUGGCGCACCGGACAGUGAACAGUCCACUGUCCGGUGCACACCGGACAGUCCGGUGCGGUGUCCGGUGUGCCACUAAAAUUCAUUUCCGAAGGCAGCGCUCUCGGGUUUCUGCGACUGGGAAGGCUCUGCUGAGGACCAGCCUGGUCCCACCUGGCAGAGGGUGCACCGGACAGUCCGGUGCACACCGGACAGUCCGGUGCCCCAAAGCAUCUUGUUUUUCAGCUGAUUUUCAAAUCGGUUUUCGUUCUAACUUGUGUGUGAGUUCUAGAGUGACACCUAGCACUGUAUAUGAGUGUGAUUGUGCACCAACACUACACUAGAACUCUCUUGGUCAAACUACUCAUCGACAACCCCUCUUUAUAGUACGGCUAAAAGAGAAUAAAAGACCUAACUAAAUCGCGAGUGUCCACAUCUCCUUGACACUCGGACUCCGUAGACCUUCACCUUUUGUUCCGUCUUUUUAGCCGUCGCUUCGAGUUCUUAUUUCCGGGAUUGUUUUCACAUUGUAGUGCUUUUACCUGUCAUGCGACCUAACUUACCAUUUGUCUCUGCAAAACACACGUUAGUCACAUAUAAUAUUACGUUGUCAUUAAUCACUAAAACCAACCAGGGGCCUAGAUGCUUUCAAUCUCCCCCUUUUUGGUGAUUGAUGACAACCCUACAAGUUUUGUGAGAGUAGUUUGUUUUGAAGAUUCUGUCAAUAGAGAGAAUGAUUAGUUAUACUUAGUAAUCUUUUUGACAGAAAGAAUGUGUACCAUAAUAAUAAGAGUGAGCGCAUACACAUCAUAAGAUUCUUGUUCAUAUAAAAGUGAAGUCAAAUUAAUGAAACAAGAGCUAGAAGACUGGUGAUAAAAUAUAAGGUGAACACACAGUCAAUCAUACGCAACGAGAGUAUAUGACGAGUUUGUGAGCCAAAAACAUAAAGCUAGUACAGAGAGUAGCAGGCACAAAUAUUACAUCAAAAGGACACUGACUCUCUACUAACUCUCUAACUCCCCCUAGCUCUCACAACUCAUAUCUCUCCCCCUUUGGCGUCAAACACCAAAAGGGACCUGAACCUAAACAUCUGAAGCAGGAGGAGGCGGCGGGGGCGCAUCCGGUCGAGGUCGAGGUAGCAGAGCAAACGCCGACGGAGGGUCAGAGUCAGUCUCGGAUCCAGGAUCUGCGGUAGAAGCUGGAGCUGGUACUGACUCGGACGCAGGCAGCGCUGCAGGAGCUACCGGAGCAGAAGCAGUCACAGAUACUGCCACAGCGGUAGUGGUAACAGCAGAUGCUGGUGGCACUGGCGGCUGCGGGCAGACAGAGCUGAGAACUGGAGAAGUGAACGCCAAGGUGACCGGCCGGAGCGGAGAGGUAACAGCAGGGGGUGCAGACAAGAUCGAAGGCACUACUGGAGCGUGAAGCGAAGAAGGCGGAGCAGACUGAACUGGAGGUGCUGAGAUACCAGAAUGCUGAAGCAUGAGAGCCAUGAAUGCCCUACUCUCUGCCCUAUCCUGAAUAAGCUGCUGCUGAAAUGCAUCCUGCCUGUCCUGCAUGCUCUGAAACAUCGAGAGCAUCCUGUCGGAUAAACGGGCCUGCUCGGCUGCCAGAAGAGCCUGCUGCUGGGUGAGAGUCUGCUGCUGCUGAGUGAGAGUCUGCUGCUGCUGGGUGAGAGUCUGAAGAAUCGAAGCAAGGGCAGGGUCCAAAGCUGGAGGAGGAGCAGGGGCAGCACGGGAACUCCCAGCCUCAUGAUCAUGUGAGCGUGGAGGCAUAGGAGGCGGGGGCGGAAGAGGAACCCCAAAAUCAUCAUCAUCAUCAUCAUCAGCAGCUGCACCCUGGGUGUCAAACUGUCGAAGUGCAGCAUCCUCGGCCUGAGUGUCAAACACAGGAGCAUAAGCUGGCACUGGAAUCUCAGGAGCAGGACGGUAAGAUCCAAACACAAGGCGUGAGGCCUCAAGGGUACUCUGAAAACGAGGUGGCUGGAUCAGCUGCGCAAAGAUGUGGCACAAGUAGUGAGCAUACGGUAGCUGCCGUCGAGCACGAAUCCCAUCCAGAACGGUGUCCUCAAUCUCACAGAUCAGAAAGUCAACAACAUCAAACUCAGAGUGGGAUACCAGGGCACCAAGGAGCCAAAGCUGAAUAUGAGUGGUAGCCUCCCUGUAUCCCAUCCUAGGCAGGAGUGUCCGUCUGACGAGCUCAUAUAAGUACUUCGCUGCAGUAGUGGGCCAACACUGGGUGCAGAUGGUCGCUUGUGGAUGGAAGGCUUCAACAUUGUCCAGUGUGGAAAUUACGCACAAUCAGUACCUACGGCCAUACCAGUUGCUCAGGUGCCUCAGCUACGUUACCAGUCAGAGGAUGAACUAGCGGCGAGGCGAACACGCAGUCACAUCACAAUCUCAUCGUCAGUUGGGUCCCCUAUAAACCCGCUCCAGCGCUCUCCGAUCAGAGCGACUCCAUUGCGAGUCGGUUCAUACCCCCGGUCGACAGAGGUGUCCGUCUGUACUGCUGUGAAUAUAGGUUCGGCUUUUCCGGCCAUUAUGAUCACGACCCGAAAAUAG